ensembl:lncRNA
GACAUGACCCAGCGAGCCUCAGGGGGUGACCAGGCCCAGCGAAGCCUCUACAUCUCUAAGGUAUGUACGUGUAUUGUAUAUCGGCCCCAGGAUUGAGACGGUAUCUCUGGUUUCUGCUUCUAUCAAUAUAUAUUAUUGGCCAAUAAUAAUAUGCUGUUGUAAAUAGAGAAUUUUCCAUACCAUCAUCAUAGCAUUUUCUUUCUUUCUUUCCAAGGAAGCAAAACAACCGGCUGCACAACUAAGACAAAGUAUGUGUUCACUCACUGUCCGCUUGUCUGGUGUUUGCGUUCCCUCUUACAAUUGGUUGAUUUAUGGUUUGUUGCCUGGUUUCAAAUAUGUUUUCUGUCUCUCCCUCUUUCUAAGGUCGGGGGGGAUGUUCAGCUGCGAAUGACCCGUCACCCUCGUGUGGCACCUCACAAAUCCAUGCUCGCUGAUGACCUGAAGCUGAGCAGUGAUGAUGACGACACUCAAAGGGCAACUCGUGAGUCGGCUUCCUUGGAGGGACACAGCCUGUCAGCACAGCGAGCGCACACACAUGGCAGGCGAGUGAGACAUUCCAGCUCCGACUCUUCGUGCUCGAGCUCCAGCGUUGAGUCGUGCAGCGGCAGCAGCAGCAGCAGCAGCAGCAGCAGCAGUCUUUGCUCCCGGAGCCCCGGCCACAGCCCAGACGUCCACCCGGAUCCCGCGUCGCCCGCCAACGCGCAGCCACCGGGCAACAGCAAGGAGACUGAUCACCCCCAGUGGCAGUUGGACGAAUGGCUGAAGAAAUCCCGGAGAAAAUCUUCCAGCGGUGACCAAGUGCACAGCGUUUCGGGACGUCCUCCCUCUCCCCACACCCAAAGAGCGCCGUCUCCAGCCAGGUUCUGGGACAGCAAUCAGGAAUACAGCCCCAGCCAAAGCCCUAUCCCCAGCCCACAGUUCAAUUUCAGCCACAACACCAGCCACCUACCUAGCCCUGGUUAUAGCUACUGCCCUAGCCCCAGCCCGUUCCCCAGCACAUGCCCAAGUCCCGGCCCAAGCCCCGGACCCAGCCCGAUACCCAGUCCAGUUCCAAGUGUUUGCCCCAGUCCGUGUGGGAGCCUGAGAGCCAGCCGUAGCCCUAGUCCUAUCCAUAGAGACCCUCCAAGAAGCCCCAGUCCCGGCCUACCAACUCCUUCCGGGGUUCGGCACUUCCCAGUUGUUCAGAGAACACAACCUAACCUGACAGCCAAUCCCCACAGGACGAAAAACAGGUCAUGGAUUACCCCAUUGCCUGAUACUGAUGCAAAGAGCAAAGCCACAAGCAGCAUUCCUCUUCAACCAACUCACCAACACCGGCCCAAGACUCGACCCACACAGAACCAAGACCAAACCAAACCGAAGACGUCUGCUGUUUUAAACUCUAACCAGAGUCACGGACAUAAAUCUAGACCCAAGUUGAACUUUCAUCCUAGUUCUAAACAGCUCUCUGAGGCUCCCAAACACACAUCACAUCUUGAGCAAAUCCAGAACAGCAGAUCGAACCACAGCUCUAACCACAAGCCCAGGCCUUCGUUUCAAUCAAGCUCACAUCGUAGCUCCAAAACAUCAAGACACUUAAUUCCCACUAGUUGUGAAACCAAAUCUGAUCAUAUUUCUCAAUCAAAAUCUGCAGCUAAUCAUAACACUGGGUUGAGCUGUAGAUCUAACCCCAGCCUUAAACCUAGGGCCAAGUCUUCGGAGGGUACAGCCCCAACUGCUGUGCGUGUUAAUCAUACUGUAACAACACGGAAGAAACCUCAGUCCAAGGAGCAGGAGGUAGACCUCAGAGGAGAUCAUCUUUCCCAAAGGGGGAGAGAAAACCAGAGAAAAGAGGACAGACAACAUAAAAAACAACAAGGGAAACCGGAGAGAAAGGAAGACAGGAGGCUGGCGGAGGAGCAGCUACUGAGACGUCCCUGGAUCCACAGUUCGGCAGAAGAAGAGGAGGAGGAGGAGGGAUUGAUAGAGAGGCAGAGGAGGAGAGAGGAGGCAGCAAGAGGGGAAAACCGUCGAGGAAGGGGACAGCAACUUCAGUGUGAAUGGCAGACAGUCCUGGCCAAAGAGAGACUGCUGACCAACACUGAGCGGAAUCGCCUCAAAGACGACUCGCACCAUCAGGGCAGGGCAAAAAGAGCAGGGAGAAGUGAGGAAGAGAGAGAGUUACAGCAAGACCCGUCACCGCCUCCGUCACGUUCGCCAACUCCUCACAGACCACCUACCUCGCCCUCCGUCUCCUCCGCUCCAAACUCUGAUUCGGAAUCUGAAUAUCAGGCUCCGAUCACCAAAGUUCCAGCAGACUCCACCUCUUACAAGGCACUCCCCAAGAGGGGGCGGCAAAGCCUCGGCAGGUCCGGUGCCGACAGGCCAAAAGUCGUGCUCCCCAGAGGACCCACCUCGGCUCAUCCAAGUGAGGGGCAGCAAAAACUCUACACCCUGGUCCCAUUCGGGCGAGGUGAACAAACUACAGCACCUUCCCAGCGAGGGCUUCGAAAUCUCGUGGUGCAGAUAGACCUCUGUCUUCUCAAAAGGGUCCCGGACAGCACUACCAGUUCCACCCUUAAAAAGCCCUCCUCCUCUUCCUCCCUGUCAUCCACGAAGGACAAGCAAAGAGAGGCCAUGAAACACCUGUACGUCCCUGAGACCGUGUCGAAGGACAGCAAAAGGAAACGCAAGUCGGAGAACGGCGUGUCACACAGAGAAAGCAAGAGGAGCAUUCCCCCCUGCGAAGGACCUCUCGAGCCAGAAGGAGCCCGCACCUCACGCAGUGGAGCGCAACUUUGUGACAGAAACCGUUCACAACGGGUACUUGGAGGAGUACUUGGACAACAAGAGGCCGUUGUCUCCUCUGUCUCCACUGUCCGACAGCCCUCAGUCCACCAAGCCCCCCCCUAAAAACAAAGACCUCAGAGCAGCUUCACGCCCAUGUCCACAAAAACAGAGACAGGAAUAGAGAUUCUGCUAUAAAG